rnacentral:rRNA from 1 species
UACGUAGGUGCGAGCGUUGUCCGGAUUUACUGGGCGUAAAGGGAGCGUAGGCGGACUUUUAAGUGAGAUGUGAAAUACCCGGGCUCAACUUGGGUGCUGCAUUUCAAACUGGAAGUCUAGAGUGCAGGAGAGGAGAAUGGAAUUCCUGGUGUAGCGGUGAAAUGCGUAGAGAUUAGGAAGAACACCAGUGGCGAAGGCGAUUCUCUGGACUGUAACCGACGCUGAGGCUCGAAAGCGUGGGGAGCAAACAGGAUUAGAUACCCGCGUAGU